AAACAAGCUUCUGUUCCCAGCAGCUUCUAGUUUGAAAGCAGAGCUAGUUUGAAAGCCUUGAAUCAUUCUGCAUAAAUUUUAUUGUAAAAUCAUUUCUAACCUCUUGCAAAUUUCGAGCAUCUCCAAAAGCAGCGCAAACUUGCCAGCAUUUCUUCCUGGUUUGCAGAAGUUCAGCUCCUCACCCCCAUCAGUACUCUCUGACUCCCUCUUGGAUGCAGGACUGAGCAAUUUGGAGAAAGAAGGGACAGCUUUAAAAACAAGAAUGCGUUUCACACAGAGGAAUGGUACCACACUGACAGCUCUAGCAGAUAAAACGUGGGCAGCCUUCAAAUAGCUCUGGAAAAACACCACCAUCCUGCCUCUUCUCCAUGCACCUCCCAGGAGACCGGUGAUGAAAGCCAGGAGAGCAAAACAUGCAACUCUGAUGGGAUAUGAAAUGUGGGUGAUCGUGCCAUGAACCGCUGCAUCUUCCCGACAGUCAUGCUGCGCAUUAAACACAUCAGGAUCUAUAUGUCUGCUGUCACAAUGUGGUUUUAUCACAUAUUUUUAUUUCCUUAGCACCUGAAUGGCAGCUUUAGAAAUCAAAUUACAGUCUGAGUGCUACAGGCUGCAGCCCCCUGACUAAGCUACUAAAUCAGACUUAAUUGAAACAACAAACAAGCCCAAAUAGCCGUUCCUUAGGAAAACGUUGCCCUUACAACACACUGCUUUUACUUCUAACUUAACUUGACUGGAUUUAUUGACUAGCUGGUAUUUCUGCUACUGCAUUUGAAGUCUAUCGAUUCUUAGAAAUAUGAAAUGAGUUUCAAAGAGGUCAGAAUGUGACUUUGUGUCCAAGAGAGUCACAAAGACAUUCAGAAAUACUAACGGGAGCAGCGGGAACUACAGAAACCUAAAUGAGGUUUCUGGUUCACACCAACAGAGAUCAGUGGUUUUUGAAGGGCGCUGCCCAUUGGCAGCCAGGUGCCUUGCCCAAAAAGAGCACAGGGGCUGAACCACUUCCCAGCAAACUGGUACCACACUGCAAGAAAAUGCUGCCCAGGCUAUCAUUCCAACUACCACCCCCUCCACUAACACACAUUUUUGGGAAGGAAGAUGCUCUGAGGACACAAGGUUGAAAUGGCACUCCUUCAGCACAGAGAGAGGUAUGUGCUGGCAGGGAAGUCUGGAAGGAAAAUGCUCUAAACAGGUAGCACAGAAUUUGCAGAAAAGCAGGAUGCCUACACACUCCCAAAGGCAUUGAGCUAAAACAGAUCGUUACCAAAGACUGGAGAGAAUUCAAAUGUUUGGAAUAAACCUACAUUGCAAAAAAGGAAAAUUAGUAGAGGAAGAGGCUGAGGAUACCAGAAGUAGCCCUCAUUUCUGAAAGUACAGAAGUGGAUGUAUUCAGCGAGAAACCAUUUCUCAAAAUGAUUUGCAUUCCAUGUUCAGAAAUCUUCGUUGAGGGCUGAAAAGAAUUUGAGGUUUAUGUCUGCAUCAUCUGGAAUGAACAUUUACAUUCUACAAAGAAAAGAAACUGUAUUCUUCAGAUGUGACCCCUCUGAGGCAGGUAACAAAUAAGAUAUAUUUGACAAAGGAAGAAAAGCUUUCUCACAAAUCUAUGGUUUUUCUAGCCCCCAAAUGGCUGCAGUCUGCCUUCAAAACUCUCUUUCAGGCUGAUGCUUGCUUCACGAUCUGUUAGUUUUGUCUAAACUACUCUUUCUAAUGGUAGUCCAGCUUUUUCCUUCUGACCUCUGCUGCACUCAGCAGGUAUCAGGCAACAGUCAUCUGGUCCUUCUGGCAUUGUCGUCUCCAUAUCUGUGUGAGCCACUACCUCUCCUGCUGCCAGGUCAUUCUAGGAAGUACUUGGAGAAAAGACAGCAUAGGGGAAGACAAUGUGUAGGAUUACUGACAUGUUUGUUAUGUUUACUGCUGUUAAUGUGUGCUUUUACUGAAAAACAGAGCUCAUCUAUUACGCUCAGCUUAAAAAUC
rnacentral:lncRNA from 1 species